AUUGAACGCUGGCGGCAUGCCUUACACAUGCAAGUCGAACGGCAGCGGACCUUCGGGUGCCGGCGAGUGGCGAACGGGUGAGUAAAGUAUCGGAACGUACCUUUCAGUGGGGGAUAACGUAGCGAAAGUUACGCUAAUACCGCAUAUUCUGUGAGCAGGAAAGCAGGGGAUCGCAAGACCUUGCGCUGAUUGAGCGGCCGAUAUCAGAUUAGCUAGUUGGUGAGGUAAAGGCUCACCAAGGCGACGAUCUGUAGCGGGUCUGAGAGGAUGAUCCGCCACACUGGAACUGAGACACGGUCCAGACUCCUACGGGAGGCAGCAGUGGGGAAUUUUGGACAAUGGGGGCAACCCUGAUCCAGCCAUGCCGCGUGAGUGAAGAAGGCCUUCGGGUUGUAAAGCUCUUUCGGCCGGGAAGAAAUCGCGCAGGUUAAUACCCUGUGUGGAUGACGGUACCGGAAUAAGAAGCACCGGCUAACUACGUG
rnacentral:rRNA from 1 species